rnacentral:rRNA from 1 species
AUCAACUUUCGAUGGUAGGAUAGAGGCCUACCAUGGUGGUAACGGGUAACGGGGUGUUAGGGCACGACACCGGAGAGGGAGCCUGAGAAACGGCUACCACAUCCAAGGAUGGCAGCAGGCGCGCAAAUUACCCAAUCCCGACACGGGGAGGUAGUGACAAUAAAUAACAAUACGGGGUUCUUUCGGAUUUCGUAAUUGGAAUGAGUACAAUUUAAAUCUCUUAACGAGGAACAAUUGGAGGGCAAGUCUGGUGCCAGCAGCCGCGGUAAUUCCAGCUCCAAUAGCGUAUAUUAAAGUUGUUGCAGUUAAAAAGCUCGUAGUUGAAUUUCGGGAUCAAAUUGUCGGUCGUGCCUCGGUACGUACUGGUAUUAUUGGUUCCUCCCUUCUGACGAACCACGAUGUCAUUAAUUUGGUGUCAUGGGAAAUCAGGACUGUUACUUUGAAAAAAUUAGAGUGUUUAAAGCAGGCUCGCGCUUGAAUACAUUAGCAUGGAAUAAUGAAAUAGGACGUUUGAUUCUAUUUUGUUGGUUUCUAGGAUCGACGUAAUGAUUAAUAGGGAUAGUUGGGGGCAUUAGUAUUCAAUUGUCAGAGGUGAAAUUCUUGGAUUUAUUGAAGACUAACUACUGCGAAAGCAUUUGCCAAGGAUGUUUUCAUUAAUCAAGAACGAAAGUUAGGGGAUCGAAGACGAUCAGAUACCGUCGUAGUCUUAACCAUAAACUAUGCCGACUAGGGAUCGGAUGAUGUUAAUUUUUUAAUGACUCAUUCGGCGCCUUACGGGAAACCAAAGUGUUUGGGUUC